UCUGGUGCCGAUGCGUUGCGGGAAACACCCGUUAUAACAUCCCGAACACGAUGGUUAAGACGCAGACGCCGAUGGUACUGCUGGUAACGGCAUGGGAGAGCAGGUGGGCGCCAGAA
rnacentral:rRNA from 1 species